AUUGAACGCUGGCGGCAGGCUUAACACAUGCAAGUCGAGCGAGCGGCGGACGGGUGAGUAAUGUCUGGGAAACUGCCUGAUGGAGGGGGAUAACGUCCGGAAACGGGCGCUAAUACCGCAUACUAUCAGAUGAGCCUAGGUCGGAUUAGCUAGUUGGUGGGGUAACGGCUCACCAAGGCGACGAUCCCUAGCUGGUCUGAGAGGAUGACCAGCCACACUGGAACUGAGACACGGUCCAGACUCCUACGGGAGGCAGCAGUGGGGAAUAUUGCACAAUGGGCGCAAGCCUGAUGCAGCCAUGCCGCGUGUAUGAAGAAGGCCUUCGGGUUGUAAAGUACUUUCAGCGGGGAGGCGUUACCCGCAGAAGAAGCACCGGCUAACUCCGUGCCAGCAGCCGCGGUAAUAC
rnacentral:rRNA from 1 species